GCCGUGGUGGUGCAGUGGUCAGCACACCCGACCUGGUAACCUACGUUCGCUCACCUACGCUCGCUUACCUAAAACCUAAGUCUCUCUCUCGAGGGUCGGGAGGUCGCUGGUUCGAAUCCAGCCCACGGUG
rnacentral:tRNA from 1 species